CAAUAGCGUAUAUUAAAGCUGUUGCGGUUAAAAAGCUCGUAGUUGGAUUUCUGUCAAGGACAACUGGUCCGCCCUCCGGGUGAGCACAUAGUUUGGUCUUGACAUCUUGCUGGAAGCUGUUGCUGCACUUGGCUGUGUGGCGCAGUGUUCAGCACUUUCACUUUGAGGAAAUUGGAGUGUUUCAAGCAGGCACAUGCCUUUGGACACAGUAGCAUGGAAUAAUUAGAUUGGGCUUUUGCUCCAAUUUGUCGGUUUCUGGAGCUGAGGUGAGUAUUAAUGGGGAUUGUUGGGGGCAUCCGAAUUUAGCCGUCAGAGGUGAAAUUCUUGGAUCUGCUAAAGACGGACAACUGCGAAAGCAUUUGCCAAGGAUGUUUUCAUUA
rnacentral:rRNA from 1 species